UACGUAGGGGGCAAGCGUUGUCCGGAAUCAUUGGGCGUAAAGAGCGUGUAGGCGGUUCGGUAAGUCCGCUGUGAAAGUCCAGGGCUCAACCCUGGAAAGCCGGUGGAAACUGUCGAGCUAGAGUCCGGAAGAGGCGAGUGGAAUUCCUGGUGUAGCGGUGAAAUGCGCGGAUAUCAGGAGGAACACCAAUGGCGAAGGCAGCUCGCUGGGACGGUACUGACGCUGAGACGCGAAAGCGUGGGGAGCAAACAGG
rnacentral:rRNA from 1 species